AGAGUUUGAUCAUGGCUCAGAACGAACGCUGGCGGCGUGGAUAAGGCAUGCAAGUCGAACGACGGCCUGAAAUAGAUCUUCGGAGAAGUGGAUGGGAUACGGAGUGGCGAAAGGGUGAGUAACACGUGAGCAAUCUGCCCUUUUGUAGGGGAUAACGCAGGGAAACCUGCACUAAUACCGUAUGUGGCCCGGGUACACCUGUACCUGGCGCUAAAGGUGGGGAUCUUCGGACCUGCCACAAAAGGAUGAGCCCGCGCACUAUUAGCUAGUUGGUGUGGUAACGGCGCACCAAGGCGAUGAUGGUUAGCUGGUCUGAGAGGAUGGUCAGCCACACUGGGACUGAGACACUGCCCAGACUCCUACGGGAGGCUGCAGUCGAGAAUCAUUCGCAAUGCGCGAAAGCGUGACGAUGCGACGCCGCGUGGAGGAUGAAGGCCUUCGGGUUGUAAACUCCUGUCACCAGGUAAUAAAGCACUGUUGAUUAAGAGUUGAUGGUGUUGAGCAAACCUGGGGAGGAAGCCACGGCUAACUCCGUGCCAGCAGCCGCGGUAAUACGGGGGUGGCGAGCGCUGUUCGGAUUUACUGGGCGUAAAGGGUCCGUAGGGGGCUGUGUAAGUCGGGUGUGAAAUCUUCAGGCUUAACCUGGAAUGUGCACUCGAGACUGUGCGGCUAGAGUAUAGGAGAGGAGAGUGGAAUUCCCGGUGUAGCGGUGAAAUGCGUAGAUAUCGGGAGGAACACCAGCGGCGAAGGCGGCUUUCUGGCCUAUGACUGACCCUGAUGGACGAAAGCUAGGGGAGCAAACAGGAUUAGAUACCCUGGUAGUCCUAGCCGUAAACGUUGUGCACUUGGUGUGGGGGGACUCAACCCCCUCUGUGCCGAAGCUAACGCGAUAAGUGCACCGCCUGGGGAGUACGGUCGCAAGAUUAAAACUCAAAUGAAUUGACGG
rnacentral:rRNA from 1 species